rnacentral:rRNA from 1 species
CGCCUCUUGUCUCACUAUAAGAGGUCCAGCCUGCCCAGUGACCUAGUUCAACGGCCGCGGUAUCCUGACCGUGCGAAGGUAGCGUAAUCACUUGUCUUUUAAAUAGAGACUAGUAUGAAUGGCACCACGAGGGUUACACUGUCUCCUCUUCCCAAUCAAUGAAACUAAUCUUCCCGUGAAGAAGCGGGAAUCUUAAUAUAAGACGAGAAGACCCUAUGGAGCUUAAAACAAAAUAAUAUUUGCUACCCCCCCCUCCGCCCAUUAGGCCACUAACCACUAUUUCAGCACAUUAAUUAUUAGUUUUUGGUUGGGGCGACUACGGAGAAAAAUUCAACCUCCACGUUGGACGGCACUAGCCUAAACAAAAAGCCACAACUUUAUGUAUCAAUAAAUUGACAUUAAUUGAUCCAGUAUUUUGAUCAACGGACCAAGUUACCCUAGGGAUAACAGCGCAAUCCACUUCAAGAGUUCAUAUCGAAAAGUGGGCUUACGACCUCGAUGUUGGAUCAGGGUCUCCCAGUGGUGCAGCCGCUACUAAAGGUUCGUUUGUUCAACGAUUAAAACCCU